GCACAUUCUGCGUCCUGCACCAAAUGGUAUCAGCUCAAAGUCCUGCCCUCGGGCAUCGAUGCCGACUUUCUCCUCCAGGAACCUCUCCGGCUUGAAUCGGUGCGCCUCCUUCCACAGCGUCUCAUCUCUUCCAAUUGCAUAUGCAUUUAUGAAGACUCGCGUUCUUGCAGGAACACCCCAUUUGGCGCUGAUCAUGCAGGCUUGGGCAGAGUUCUCGCGGGGAUAAAUUGGGACUGGCGGGUGUAGCCUAAGUGUUUCGUUGAUAACUGCUUGGAGGUACGUGAGACUUCGGAUAUCCGACUCUUGCAUGGUACGUUCUUGGCCUAUCACUUCAUCUAAUUCGGCUUGUACCUUGGCCAGCGCAGCAGGAUGAUUCAGUAGCUCUGAAAUUGCCCACUCCGAUG
rnacentral:lncRNA from 1 species